UAUUACAGAUUCCUUUAUUAAAAGAUGUGACUCUGUACCACAGUAUUACAGAUUCCUUUAAGAUGUGACUCUGUACCACAGUAUUACAGAUUCCUUUAUUAAAAGAUGUGACUCUGUACCACAGUAUUACAGAUUCCUUUAUUAAAAGAUGUGACUCUGUACCACAGUAUUACAGAUUCCUUUAUUAAAAGAUGUGACUCUGUACCACAGUAUUACAGAUUCCUUUAUUAAAAGAUGUGACUCUGUACCACAGUAUUACAGAUUCCUUUAUUAAAAGAUGUGACUCUGUACCACAGUAUUACAGAUUCCUUUAUUAAAAGAUGUGACUCUGUACCACAGUAUUACAGAUUCCUUUAUUAAAAGAUGUGACUCUGUACCACAGUAUUACAGAUUCCUUUAAGAUGUGACUCUGUACCACAGUAUUACAGAUUCCUUUAUUAAAAGAUGUGACUCUGUACCACAGUAUUACAGAUUCCUUUAUUAAAAGAUGUGACUCUGUACCACAGUAUUACAGAUUCCUUUAAGAUGUGACUCUGUACCACAGUAUUACAGAUUCCUUUAUUAAAAGAUGUGACUCUGUACCACAGUAUUACAGAUUCCUUUAUUAAAAGAUGUGACUCUGUACCACAGUACUACAGAUGGAUCUUAUAUUUUCUUGUAAAUUAAUCAUUGUUGAUCAUUUUGAUCGAGACAUAAAUAUUUUAAGAACUAUUUUAAAUAUAGACUUUAUUUUCCUUUUCUAGGUAAAGUCAAGAUCUAGUUAGCGUUUACUAAUUAAACAACAUCUCUCAUCCAUUUCCUUUCAAAAAGAAAUGAAAGAAUAUCCCUUUUUCAGUUUUGUUGUAGAACCAUUAUACAUUAUGUAAUGGGGGAAGAAAUCACAAAACUGUUUUUGAAUUAAAAACACUAUUUUAUAUAUCCUGAAUGACACAUAUAUCUAUAGUAAUUCAUUAUAUUGUGGAUAGCAUAUUUUUAGGAGGGUAACUGGAGUAACGAGUUGUAGGCUGAAUAGAAACCAUUUAAAAUGCUACAGGUAGCUACAGUAUAGAAAGAGCUCAUACUGCUGAGACAACUCACAACGUCUGGGCGCGGUUACCAGAGAGGAAACUAACCGUCUUGUUGAGGAUUUACAUUUUAAUCAAAAUGCUUCGCCUCUCUUUAAGAUUAAGAAGAUUCCCCUGAUCCCACGUCAUGCUCGCAAGCCAAGGCUUUAUUAGAAACGUGUUGAAUGUGUGUCACUUACUGCUUGUGCAUCCGUCCAUCCAUCCACACGGGACAGGUCAAAGGGCAUGCUCCACUAGUAGAAUGGAAGCAUGCUGUUUUGACCUCUCACCUUUGACUCUUGACCUCCACUUUGACUGACAGUGUCCACUUUGAGCUGCAUAGGUUAUAACUUCCAUAUGAAUCUUGAUAGACAUGACUUAACUAACCCGGAACAACAACCCUACAUUAGUUCCACGUCGACAACCAACCCCCCCCCCCCCCCCCAAGAGUAGCAAAAUCAGAAGCACCUUUUAAAGUCCUCUUCUUAAAAGACUGUUAGUAUAUUAAUACUCAUGAUUAUAAUGGUCAUUAUUAUGCAGACGUGUCGGAGACAACAUUUCUAGAGGAGAUCACUAUUUUGCACAUGAACCACUAUCUAGUUUGACAAUGACUGCUCUUCCAAGAUAAAAGGCGCUGUCUAGAACCUUAAAGGGUUAUUCGGCUGUCUCCAUAGGAGAACCCUUUUGGGUUCCACAUAGAACUCUUUCAAUGGAGGGUUCUAAAUGGAACCCCCAAAAAAAGGGGUUCUGUCUGGAACCAAAGGGUUCUGCUAUGGGGACAGCCAAAUUAACCCCUUGUGGAAUCAUUUUUUCUAAGAAUAUACACAGAGGCGUUGAGAGGAAAGAGUUUUAAGAAGUUAUGUCUGGAUUUAAAAGAUAGCAUGAAUAAUGACUGUCUGAAAUAGCACCCAUUCCCUUUACAGUGCACUAAGUUUGACCACUGAAGGCCACUGGUCUAAAGUAGUGCCCUUAUGUAGGGAAUAGGGUUCCAUUUGAGAAGCAGACUAGGACUCGUUUUCAAGAGGUCUUACUGGCCAGUGAGCAGGUGUCAGUUGGUUGAAGCAGACAAGGACUCGUUUUCAAGAGGCCUUACUGGCCAGUGAGCAGGUGUCAGUUGGUUGAAGCAGACUAGGACUCGUUUUCAAGAGGCCUUACUGGCCAGUGAGCAGGUGUCAGUUGGUUGAAGCAGACUAGGACUCGUUUUCAAGAGGCCUUACUGGCCAGUGAGCAGGUGUCAGUUGGUUGAAGCAGACUAGGACUCGUUUUCAAGAGGCCUUACUGGCCAGUGAGCAGGUGUCAGUUGGUUGAAGCAGACUAGGACUCGUUUUCAAGAGGCCUUACUGGCCAGUGAGCAGGUGUCAGUUGGUUGAAGCAGACUAGGACUCGUUUUCAAGAGGCCUUACUGGCCAGUGAGCAGGUGUCAGUUGGUUGAAGCAGACUAGGACUCGUUUUCAAGAGGCCUUACUGGCCAGUGAGCAGGUGUCAGUUGGUUGAAGCAGACUAGGACUCGUUUUCAAGAGGCCUUACUGGCCAGUGAGCAGGUGUCAGUUGGUUGAAGCAGACUAGGACUCGUUUUCAAGAGGCCUUACUGGCCAGUGAGCAGGUGUCAGUUGGUUGAAGCAGACUAGGACUCGUUUUCAAGAGGCCUUACUGGCCAGUGAGCAGGUGUCAGUUGGUUGAAUCAUGAAUGUUUCUCUCCCUCUGUUUCUUCCAGGUCGGGUUAAGAUAAAUAUUGCACCGUUAUACUGUAGCAUUCCACAGUACGGUUCCAGAUUCCACAUGGAACAAACACAGUAUUUUGAUAUAAAAUAUUCAGACAUAUUAUAAGAUCGCUUUAUUGAGGUUUAACGGUUGUUUAACUGUCUUUUCCAACACAAGUCGUUUUUCUGCUUUGAUGUGACCUUCCUGAAGCCACGUCGGAGAGAGAUGAUUGUUUACCUGGUAUGGAUAACAGAACACCGAGGACUAUUGGUGAUGAAGAGGGGUUUGUGUGACUGUCAUUAGUCAUAAAUAGUUUGGGGGGGGUUGGUUAAUGUUGAGUUAAAGACUUUGUGUUAUUGGUCCGCGUCUCACUUUAAGGCUGUAGUAGAACGUUGUACCCAUCAGGUUUAAACAAGUCUGUAAUACAUUUAAGUACUUCAGUAAUGCCCUAAAUCAUGAUUUAGUCAAUCAUGCACAGAAUCAGAAGACUGACAGGUGGAAGUGGAAGGAUAGACCACUUUUUGGCAAAGUCGUCUGUCCUUAUUGCGUUUAUAAUGUGAAAGAACUAUUCACAAAAAACAACAAAAGUAAUUUUUUGUGAUAUUAGUAGUGGCACUACUGUUAAAUGUAGUAUUUUAAGAAGAACAGCACUAUUUAUGGUCAUUAAAAUGAACUAGAAUGUGUAUUGUGCAUUAUGGUAGCUUUGGAGGCAGCCAUCUUGUUUUGUAUCAAUUUCCUCAUGCUCAGAGACAGUCACUCACUUCAUGUAAGGGGUUGGACUAGUUGUUGGGGAGUUGUUGAGUGGACUUGCCCAAAUCAGAGCCCCCUUUUCUCCUUUGAAUGACAAGUCUGCAUGGUCUCACCAACAGACAUUUCCACCCAUUCCCUCGAAUCUUACAUUUUUAUUUUCUAUAAAGAAAAACAAUUCUAUUAUUUUAUUUUUAAUUUCUUGUUUCAUUCUUUCAUUUAAACCAAUUUUUAAAGAGAAAGAAAACAAUAAAUACAAAUCUGAAUAUUCAAUCACUUUUUCUACUUCUAUUUUCAAAAUAACUGAAAAAAAAUGAAAUAAAAAGUUGAUUUGUAUAUAAGUGAUGUACAGUUUGUAUCUGUUAAUGUCAGUCUGUCUUUGGUGACAGAGUCUGUCUUGCUUAUAACGCACGCUACCAGUAAAUAAAAUACAAAUAUAUUUAGACUGUACGGUCCUUGAAAGCAAGUUUUAAAUUAAUCUGAUGUAUAUUCCUGUAACAUUGCAUUUUUAUCUGAGGAAUUAUGUUAUUAAAAAAUUGCUAAUAAAUUGCAUUUCCUACA